rnacentral:lncRNA from 1 species
AAGGAUGUCUCAGACAAGUCAAAGCCGGUAGUUUAAGUGAGAGCGUUUGUCGAGGACCCGAACGAAGUUAUCACGGGUAAGUUAAUCAUAAAUGCUUACGAAGUCUAUACCUUAUUUGAUACCCGUUCUACCCAUUAUUUUAUCUCUCUUGCUUGCGCUCAACGUUUAAAUUUGACCCCAGAGAAGUUAGACUUUGACUUAUUGGUUGAAACUUCUUUAGGAGAAACCU